AUUGAACGCUGGCGGAAUGCUUUACACAUGCAAGUCGAACGGCAGCACGGGUGCUUGCACCUGGUGGCGAGUGGCGAACGGGUGAGUAAUACAUCGGAACGUACCCAGUUGUGGGGGAUAACUAACCGAAAGGUUAGCUAAUACCGCAUACGACCUGAGGGUGAAAGCGGGGGACCGUAAGGCCUCGCGCAAUUGGAGCGGCCGAUGUCUGAUUAGCUAGUUGGUGAGGUAAAGGCUCACCAAGGCGACGAUCAGUAGCUGGUCUGAGAGGAUGAUCAGCCACACUGGAACUGAGACACGGUCCAGACUCCUACGGGAGGCAGCAGUGGGGAAUUUUGGACAAUGGGGGAAACCCUGAUCCAGCCAUUCCGCGUGAGUGAAGAAGGCCUUCGGGUUGUAAAGGACUUUUGUCCGGGAGCAAAUGCUGGUGGCUAACAUCCACCGGAGCUGAGAGUACCGGAAGAAUAAGCACCGGCUAACUACGUGCCAGCCGCCGCUGUAACAC
rnacentral:rRNA from 1 species